rnacentral:misc_RNA from 1 species
GCGCCGGCCCGCAGUCCGCGCGAGGAGUCGCGCCCGGCCCCUUGUCUGCCGUGCCGCGCGCCGUAAGCUCCCAGCCUUUGUUUGUUGUCGAACGCGAGUCGCGCGCUCUACAGCUGUUCAGUGUUACAUCUCCGUGAUACGUUAUAGUGAUAUUUGUGUGUCGUUUGUUCUGUCAGUGCCGGAGUACCAGUGGUUUGUGUGAUCAGCUGAGAUUUGAUGGCGUUUCUCGUGUGCCCGUGAAGUAGUCGGUGCGCGCGUCUCCGCAAGGGAGCUCGGCCAUGGCGGCCACGGCCCGCCGCGAGAUCGACACCGGCGAGGAGGACAUCGCCGCCAUCGCCAAACAGAUUUCAGAUCAUGCCGAAGCGAUCUACCAGACCUGGAAGGCUCGCGGUCUGGCGCCCUCUGAGAUACUGUCCUGCAGACCGACUCCAGGCCUCAAGCUGGCCGAUAGUUUGCGUACUUCUAAGCCCCGACCGGAACCGAAACCGGAAAUAAAGCAACGGCCGGAACUGCGACGAGAGCAGCGCGGGGAGGCUGCGCAAGAGCAGCGACCGGAUAGCCGCAGGGAGCAGCCCCGCACAGAGCAGCGCCACGAGCCUAACUCAGAGACUGUAGAAGUUAUGUUACCUCCAGACCUUGUCCCAGAAAGGAAUGGCACGGGCGGCCCCGGUGCCACGCGCCGAGCUGACCCUGCUGCCAUGAGGCUGGAGGUUGCACGAGAAGAGGAACGUCUCCUACGGGCGCUGCGCACCGGCGGGGUCGUCGCAGAGCGUGCGCCGGAAAGACCCGAUGUGGUACCUCCGGUCUCCUUAGUAGAUUACGCUAAGAGUCGCUAUCAGGAUCGUUUAGAUACAGGAGCGAGGAAACCUGCUACAGGCGCUAGCGAAAGACGAGCGUCGAUCGGUUCACAUGUUAAUGAAGCAAGGUCCAAAUUCGAGGCGCGGGCUCGUCGCGCAUCAAGUGCCGGUGCAGGCGAGCCCACGGCCCCCGGAGCCACGCCUGUGAGGCCCUUCCUCACGCGUGGCUCUGUCGCCGAGCGCGUGCUCAUGUUUGAGCGAUGCCCCAGCGAGGCCACACUCGAGCUUGCCAAGAGGAAAACCCCAGCGGCCACCACCUGGCGAGGACCGCACGACGUCAUCAACAGAGCACAGAGUUAUGCCGCGUCGACGCCGCCGAAGCCAUCGUCGGCGCCCCCCCACACCACGCUGCAGCGGACGGUGCGGGGGGCGGCUAACAGUGGUGCGCCCGCGCGGGUCAUCCCUCGCUUCUAUUACCCCAAGGGCCGACCACCGCCGGCGCACCAGCAGGACCACGCGGUGCACAAAGUGCAGUCCGCCUUCGCUACCUUUCCUAAUAGCCAGGUACCCAGAGAAAGCUUCAAGCACAUCGUGAAGGCGUGCGAGUGUCCGCUGUACUGGAAGAUGCCGCUAUUCCUGACCACACAGCAGAGCCUACACGCCCCCGUUGACGGACACAAAUUCAUCGACUUCUGGCGAGAAGUGACAUCGCAAUGCCACGACCAGGCGUCGAGGUUCGUGUUCGUGCUCACUCGCGGCAAGAGCAACACGCUGGCUCCUGAAGACUUCGUGCCGUUGGUCCAAGACGUGGUGGACACACACCCUGGACUCUCCUUCCUCAAAGAAGCCACGGAAUUUCACUCCAGAUACGUACAUACUGUGAUCGCUAGGAUAUUUUACUGUGUGAACCGGUCGUGGUCAGGCAGGAUAUCGAUCCCCGAACUGAGGCGGUCCAACCUGCUGCAAGUCAUACAGCUGCUAGAGGACGAAGAAGACAUUAACCAAGUCACACAAUAUUUUAGUUAUGAGCAUUUCUACGUAAUUUACUGCAAAUUCUGGGAACUGGACAGGGACCACGAUCUGUUCAUCGAUAAACACGACCUGGCUAGACACAACGACCAUGCGUUAUCGAGUCGGAUGAUCGAGCGCGUGUUAUCCGGGUGCGUGACCCGGGGAAACCAAAAUCGCUUGACCUCGGACGGAGAACCCCGCAUGUCUUACACGGAGUUCGUCUGGUUCCUGCUGGCUGAAGAGGACAAGACGCACCCCACUGCCAUUGAAUACUGGUUUAGGUGUAUGGACAUAGACGGAGACGGCUACAUAUCUAUGUAUGAGCUGGAAUACUUCUACGAGGAACAGAUGCAGAGGAUGGAAGCCAUCGGCAUUGAGACCUUACCAUUCAAUGAUUGUUUAUGCCAGAUGCUGGACAUGGUGCACCCGGCGGAGGAAGGCAAGAUCACCCUGACGGACCUGAAGCGGUGCAAGCUGACGCCGAUAUUCUUUGACACCUUCUUCAACCUUGAGAAGUAUCUCGACCACGAACAGCGCGAUCCCUUCGCCACGCAACGUGAUUCCGAUUCAGAGAUGUCAGAAUGGGACAGGUUCGCAGCCGAAGAAUAUGAACUAUUAGUAGCAGAGGAAGGAGGCAGUGAUGCUCAGGAUCAAAUCUCGUACGAUGAGACGGAUGAAGAUUGUCUGUCGCCAAACCUAGAUGAGAUCACCAACACGGACGUCAUCGAGGACUCGAGCGUGGAGGAGUCGACGCUGAGCGAGGCGCUGGCGGGCGGCGCGGCGGGCGGGGCUGCGCGCGCGCAUCUAGCGCCGCACGCGCCGCACGCCGCGCCCGGCUACGUCAACCUCAGCUCCAUCUACUCCAUCGGCUCCGGCGACCGGUGGGCCAACCAACAUCAACCAACCGCCGCCAAAAACGGAUUCCCCGAGAAAAAGCUUUCCGAAAAACCUGUACCUCCCGAAAAACCCGUAAGUUUGAUGAUGGUAAACGGCAAAAUGGACAAUCGAUACGCCGGCUUCGGAGGCAAUAAUAGCUUCCUGUACUCUCACUUACUGGGAACCAACCCCGGUGGAACUCGGGCCAAGGACCCGCCCUCGUACACCGCGGCCACUAGCGGAGCUCUUUUCGAUAAGAACGGUGAAAAGAAGGUGACAUCACCGAAUAAGAUUACCAAGUCGCCGGUGACUAGUCCUGUAAAUGGAGUGAAUAAGAUUUCCGAUAACUACGAGAGAGCGGUGGCAGAGAGACUGAGCCCGCAGAGAGAAAUCUCUAGAGUGAACCGGAGCAGCUUGUUCAGCAAGGUGAACACGGGCGUGGUGUCGAGCAAGGUGAAGGCGAGCGCGCGCAGCCACGACGACGAGGACGAGGACUACGCGCGCGACAGUGACGAGUGCUCCAUAUAGGGCCCGCCGCGGGACGCCGCGGCUGCCCACCGUACCUACUAGGCCGCGCCACACAGCCAACACCAAAGAUCGCAAACGUGCAAUUCAUAAAACUAUUGACAGGUUUGUCUUUAGAUUAGAUUUUGAACGAGAUAAUUGUUACAGCGUUGUGUUUGAAACCGAAAAUAAAAAUAUUUUUUCAACGUAUCCUAGUGGUUGAUACGUGCCUUGUGACAGUGUAGCAGAGAAGUUUCCACUUCGGACUUAGACGGUAGAGGACGUAGAAGUGAUACGUGAAAUUUACAAGAUAAACUUUUAAUAAUGUCGCGUCUAUAGACUAGUUUUGGCAUUUUACUAGUAUUGUAUUUAUUUAUCUAACAGACUUUUGUACCAGUGUAUUGUUUUGAAGUGAGCAUAUUCAUAAUUUAUUCACGCAAAAUUAUUUUUAGAAAAAUGUGACAUAAAGAAUGCCUAUAAUAGAUGUAUCUUCAUGAAUCUCACUGGAUAUUCGUUAGUCCGUCAUCAAAACAUCAUUCAUAUCAUUAUUCCAUCCAUGGGUCAGUUGGUACUAAGCGGCGCUUUAAAGCGCAGGCAAACUUGCAAUUUGUGAGAUCAGCAGCCGCACUAUUCAUAUUACUUACACUUAUUCUUGUAGAAAAUUAUUCGAAUUAAACUACUAAUACUGUACAUUGAUUAGUUUAAAGUACUUACGCCAUAACUCGAGCAUUAUAAUCAUGAAUCGACAUAAUAAUCAGUAUAAUAAACACGCACACCUUAGAAUAGCGAUGAAUAUUUUUGAUAAGGACAAGAGGUUUUAUGUGGGAAACCUUCGGAAUAUUUUUUAAAAGUAUUAUUGUGUCAAAUUAACUCUACAUCGAUCCGACGAUCGCCUUCUAUCAAAGUACCUACGGUCAGGAUAGAGCUUGAACAAAUUGUGUGCGUCAAGCUAGCGGCCUCAAAAAAAAAAUGGGCACGAAAAAAUAAUUUGACCAUACCAAAAAAUAGUACUCUUAUUGAAAAAAAUAGUACCUGUUGUAAAAAAAUUAGUACCAUCACGGUUCUGGAUUUAUAGCCAUGUUUUAUUGCACUUGCUAGCUUGACGGUGAGCGAAAUUUGGCGAGAGUUAACGACAAGGUCUUUCGCUUUGAUUUAAACGCCAAAAAAUAGUAUCGAAAUAGUACUCACCCCCUGCAAAAUACCGAAAGUAGUACUUCAACGGUUCCAAAGUUAUAAAGGCAGUUCUUUGAUCCCGCUAGCUUGACGUUUUGAAAAUACCUAUUAUCUGGGGAACGCUUGCAUACUUCAGUAUGUAACUAAUGUCAAUAAACUCGUAUGAAAUAGUACUCCCUACCAUCAUAAUUUUGAUCCGAUUCUCUUUGUAGAAAUGUUAAAAAAUCAUCAUAACCUAUGCCAUACAUUUGUUGUUGAUACAGUCACGUAGACAAUUACAUAACCUCACAAUUUAUUCGUAAGUAUUGCCAUUUUGGAGGUCUACCCUACCAUUUCUUUGCACUUCAGUGCUGCUAUUACAAAAAAUUCCUAUUGCAUACACCCAUAUGCACUAAUUUUAAUAGAAAAUGGCUGCAUGGGUCUAGUUCUUAUCGAAAACAAUCUGUGAUUUUAAUACAUCAUAAUACAUUUUUAAUCUGCUGUUUUAUUUUAUAAUUUAUACCUUCAUGUUGAAUUUGUUACGGAUCGAAGUGUUUGUUAAUAAACAAUUUGCAGUAUUUGUAGAAUAACUCAAAGAGUUUCAACAAUGAUAUUACUUUCAUCUAACAACCCUGGCACUUCACCAAUUUUUACCCAAAAAUGGGGAAAAAUACUGAAAUCUGACAACAUUCUUGACCAUGUGUAAUAAUUUUGUUCGCGACUGUACUCGUCUUGAUAAAUGUAUGACAUAGGUUAUAAUGACUUUUUGACAUAUUUCUACAAAGAGAAUCAGGUCCAAAUUAUGAUGGUAGGGAGUACUAUUUCAUACGAGUUUAUUGACAUUAGUUACAAACUGAAGUAUGCAAGCAUUCCCCAGAUAAUAGGUAUUUUCAAAACGUCAAGCUAGCGGGAUCAAAGAACUACCUUUAUAACUUUGGAAUCGUUGAAGUACUACUUUCGGUAUUUUGCAGGGGGUGAGUACUAUUUCGAUACUAUUUUUUGGCGUUUAAAUCAAAGCGAAAGACCUUGUCGUUAACUCUCGCCAAAUUUCGCUCACCGUCAAGCUAGCAAGUGCAAUAAAACAUGGCUAUAAAUCCAGAACCGUGAUGGCACCAAUCUUUUUAAAA